rnacentral:rRNA from 1 species
UACGAGUUUGAUCAUGGCUCAGAACGAACGCUGGCGGCAGGCCUAACACAUGCAAGUCGAGCGAACCCUUCGGGGUUAGCGGCGGACGGGUUAGUAACGCGUGGGAAUAUACCCUUUGGUACGGAAUAGCCUCGGGAAACUGAGAGUAAUACCGUAUGUGCCCUUCGGGGGAAAGAUUUAUCGCCAAAGGAUUAGCCCGCGUUGGAUUAGAUAGUUGGUGGGGUAAUGGCCUACCAAGUCUACGAUCCAUAGCUGGUUUGAGAGGAUGAUCAGCAACACUGGGACUGAGACACGGCCCAGACUCCUACGGGAGGCAGCAGUGGGGAAUCUUAGACAAUGGGCGCAAGCCUGAUCUAGCCAUGCCGCGUGGACGAUGAAGGCCUUAGGGUUGUAAAGUCCUUUCAGAUGGGAAGAUAAUGACGGUACCAUCAGAAGAAGCCCCGGCUAACUCCGUG